rnacentral:rRNA from 1 species
GACGAACGCUGGCGGCGUGCCUAAUACAUGCAAGUCGAGCGAAUCUUUUGGGAGCUUGCUCCCGAAAGAUUAGCGGCGGACGGGUGAGUAACACGUGGGCAACCUGCCUAUAAGACUGGGAGAACUUCGGGAAACCGGAGCUAAUACCGGAUACGUUCUUUUCUCGCAUGAGAGAAGAUGGAAAGACGGUCUCGGCUGUCACUUAUAGAUGGGCCGGCGGCGCAUGAGCUAGUUGGUGGGGUAAUGGCUCACCAAGGCGACGAUGCGUAGCCGACCUGAGAGGGUGAUCGGCCACACUGGGACUGAGACACGGCCCAGACUCCUACGGGAGGCAGCAGUAGGGAAUCUUCCGCAAUGGACGAAAGUCUGACGGAGCAACGCCGCGUGAACGAAGAAGGCCUUCGGGUCGUAAAGUUCUGUUGUUAGGGAAGAACAAGUACCAGAGUAACUGCUGGUACCUUGACGGUACCUAACCAGAAAGCCACGGCUAACUACGUGCCAGCCGCCGCCGUAAUAC